rnacentral:rRNA from 1 species
GACGAACGCUGGCGGCGUGCUUAACACAUGCAAGUCGAACGGAAAGGCCCUGCUUGCAGGGUGCUCGAGUGGCGAACGGGUGAGUAACACGUGGGUGAUCUGCCCCUUACUUUGGGAUAAGCCUGGGAAACUGGGUCUAAUACUGGAUAGGACCAUGCUGUAGGUGGUGUGGUGGAAAGAUUAGUUUCGGUAAGGGAUGAGCUCGCGGCCUAUCAGCUUGUUGGUGGGGUAAUGGCCUACCAAGGCGUCGACGGGUAGCCGGCCUGAGAGGGUGGACGGCCACAUUGGGACUGAGAUACGGCCCAGACUCCUACGAGAGGCAGCAGUGGGGAAUAUUGCACAAUGGGCGCAAGCCUGAUGCAGCGACGCCGCGUGGGGGAUGACGGCCUUCGGGUUGUAAACUCCUUUCAGCCAUGACGAAGCCCUUGUGGUGACGGUAGUGGUAGAAGAAGCACCGGCUAACUACGUG